UCUGCAACUCGACUCCAUGAAGCUGGAUUCGCUAGUAAUCGCGCAUCAGCCACGGCGCGGUGAAUACGUUCCCGGGCCUUGUACACACCGCCCGUCAAGCCAUGGAAGCCGGGGGUGCCUGAAGUGCGCUGCCGCAAGGAGCGUCCUAGGGUAAAACCGGUGACUGGGGCUAAGUCGUAACAAGGUAUC
rnacentral:rRNA from 1 species